rnacentral:rRNA from 2 species
UACGUAGGGGGCGAGCGUUGUCCGGAAUUACUGGGCGUAAAGGGUGCGUAGGCGGCUUAGUAAGUCAGGUGUGAAAGGCAUGGGCUCAACCCAUGUAAGCACUUGAAACUGCUUAGCUUGAGUUAAGGAGAGGGAAGCGGAAUUCCUGGUGUAGCGGUGAAAUGCGUAGAUAUCAGGAGGAACACCAGUGGCGAAGGCGGCUUCCUGGCCUUGGACUGACGCUGAGGCACGAAAGCGUGGGGAGCAAACAGG